NNNNNNNNNNNNNNNNNNNNNNNNNNNNNNNNNNNNNNNNNGCCGGUGGUACGGUCCGCGCGCGCGCCGCGCUGCUGAKACCACUCUCUAGUGCGCUAGCGGAGAAGCUGUUAGAGGGCGGCCGCGUGGCCUAAUGGAUAAGGCGUCUGACUUCGGAUCAGAAGAUUGCAGGUUCGAGUCCUGCCGCGGUCGCGUAACGAGAGAGUACAUCUCCGUCCUUUUUUUUUUUUUAGUUUAAACUCACAUUUUGGCGUGGGUAGGAAAAAAGGCCCCGGGGCACGUGACCGCGCGGUGGACCCGGGGCGCGGACGGGCCGKGACAACUCGCUGUUAGUAUUAGCAGCAGCAGCAGCAGCAGCGCACUUCGUGUUUUGAUGGUUCCUUUAAACAGAGGGAAAACCCGCGGCUGUCAACCUCCCGAGGGCGGAAGGGCGCUCGCCCCAAGGGCGCGACGGGUGCGCCCGGAUGCCCUCACCCCGGGACCCAGCCGGGGACACCAGCCUCGGACGAGCCCCCAUCUGCAGUCGCUGCUGCACGUGCUGGACUSCCUUCCCGGCACCCCAAAACCUCGCACCUUCGAGCCCUGGGGCGGCGGGGUGGGGGGUGGCAGGAGGGGGGCCCCGGGGGCCGUCAGGGCAGAGCCUGCUGCUGCCUCGGUCCUGGCACCAUGCCAGCAUCAGGGCUCUGCGGCGCUGCCCAGCACGGUGGGGACAGCGGGUCGGGGCGUGGAGGUGCCAGGGUGCAAGUGCCCCACAGGCAGGGAAGGCCUCAUGGGCCAGGAAGACACUCUGGGAUGCCAGGGAAGGGGCUGCAGGAUGCCAGGGAAAGGGCUGUGGGAUGCCAGGGAAGGUGGCUGGAGCAGGCCAAGAAAGGAGCCUACAGAUGCCAGGGCAAGGGCCAGAGGAUGUUGGGGAAGGGGCUGUGGGAUGCCAGGGAAAGUGUUCAUAGGAUCCUGGGGAAGGGGCUGCAGGAUGCAGGCGAGGAAGCUCAUAGGAUGCCAGGGAAGGUGCUCAUCUGAUGCCGGGGAAGGGGUUGGAGGAUGCCGGGGAAGAGGCUCAUCGGAUGCUAGGAAGSGGCUGGAGGAUGCCAGUCCCCAGCCCCGCAGGGGCUCCUCAGGGAGCGGCGGGGCCGGGAAGGCGGCUCCUGGCAGAGGCUGCCCUGGCCCAGGCAGCACAGGGGGAGGCAGCCGGGCCGAGCCAGGCCAAGCC
rnacentral:tRNA from 1 species